rnacentral:rRNA from 1 species
UACGUAGGGGGCAAGCGUUUGUCCGGAUUCAUUGGGCGUAAAGAGCGUGUAGGCGGCCGGUAGGUCGGUUGUGAAAACUGGAGGCUCAACCUUCAGAGGUCGACCGAAACCAUCUGGCUAGAGUCGGGAGAGGAGAGUGGAAUUCCUGGUGUAGCGGUGAAAUGCGCAGAUAUCAGGAAGAACACCCUGGCGAAAGCGGCUCUCUGGAACGGUACUGACGCUGAGGAGCGAAAGCGUGGGGAGCGAACAGG